rnacentral:rRNA from 1 species
AACGAACGCUGGCGGCAUGCCUAACACAUGCAAGUCGAACGAGACCUUCGGGUCUAGUGGCGCACGGGUGCGUAACGCGUGGGAACCUGCCCUUAGGUUCGGAAUAACUCUCCGAAAGGGGUGCUAAUACCGGAUAAUGUCUUCGGACCAAAGAUUUAUCGCCUUUGGAUGGGCCCGCGUUGGAUUAGCUUGUUGGUAGGGUAAAAGCCUACCAAGGCGACGAUCCAUAGCUGGUCUGAGAGGAUGAUCAGCCACACUGGGACUGAGACACGGCCCAGACUCCUACGGGAAGCAGCAGUGGGGAAUAUUGGACAAUGGGCGAAAGCCUGAUCCAGCAAUGCCGCGUGAGUGAUGAAGGCCUUAAGGUUGUAAAGCUCUUUUACCCGGGAUGAUAAUGACAGUACCGAGAGAAUAAGCACCGGCUAACUCCGUG